GGCGACAGUCGGUGCCUAUAACUGCAGUCGACGAACUCUGGUAUUGAUUGGUGCUUGCAUCAUGAUUUACAUUUGAGUGAGUGGCGAACUGGUGAGUAACACGUGGGAAACCUGCCCAGAAGCGGGGGAUAACACCUGGAAACAGAUGCUAAUACCGCAUAACAACUUGGACCGCAUGGUCCGAGCUUGAAAGAUGGCUUCGGCUAUCACUUUUGGAUGGUCCCGCGGCGUAUUAGCUAGAUGGUGGGGUAACGGCUCACCAUGGCAAUGAUACGUAGCCGACCUGAGAGGGUAAUCGGCCACAUUGGGACUGAGACACGGCCCAAACUCCUACGGGAGGCAGCAGUAGGGAAUCUUCCACAAUGGACGAAAGUCUGAUGGAGCAACGCCGCGUGAGUGAAGAAGGGUUUCGGCUCGUAAAACUCUGUUGUUAAAGAAGAACAUAUCUGAGAGUAACUGUUCAGGUAUUGACGGUAUUUAACCAGAAAGCCACGGCUAACUACGUGCCAGCAGCCGCGGUAAUACGUAGGUGGCAAGCGUUGUCCGGAUUUAUUGGGCGUAAAGCGAGCGCAGGCGGUUUUUUAAGUCUGAUGUGAAAGCCUUCGGCUCAACCGAAGAAGUGCAUCGGAAACUGGGAAACUUGAGUGCAGAAGAGGACAGUGGAACUCCAUGUGUAGCGGUGAAAUGCGUAGAUAUAUGGAAGAACACCAGUGGCGAAGGCGGCUGUCUGGUCUGUAACUGACGCUGAGGCUCGAAAGUAUGGGUAGCAAACAGGAUUAGAUACCCUGGUAGUCCAUACCGUAAACGAUGAAUGCUAAGUGUUGGAGGGUUUCCGCCCUUCAGUGCUGCAGCUAACGCAUUAAGCAUUCCGCCUGGGGAGUACGGCCGCAAGGCUGAAACUCAAAGGAAUUGACGGGGGCCCGCACAAGCGGUGGAGCAUGUGGUUUAAUUCGAAGCUACGCGAAGAACCUUACCAGGUCUUGACAUACUAUGCAAAUCUAAGAGAUUAGACGUUCCCUUCGGGGACAUGGAUACAGGUGGUGCAUGGUUGUCGUCAGCUCGUGUCGUGAGAUGUUGGGUUAAGUCCCGCAACGAGCGCAACCCUUAUUAUCAGUUGCCAGCAUUAAGUUGGGCACUCUGGUGAGACUGCCGGUGACAAACCGGAGGAAGGUGGGGAUGACGUCAAAUCAUCAUGCCCCUUAUGACCUGGGCUACACACGUGCUACAAUGGAUGGUACAACGAGUUGCGAACUCGCGAGAGUAAGCUAAUCUCUUAAAGCCAUUCUCAGUUCGGAUUGUAGGCUGCAACUCGCCUACAUGAAGUCGGAAUCGCUAGUAAUCGCGGAUCAGCAUGCCGCGGUGAAUACGUUCCCGGGCCUUGUACACACCGCCCGUCACACCAUGAGAGUUUGUAACACCCAAAGUCGGUGGGGUAACCUUUUAGGAACCAGCCGCCUAAGGUCACAGAGU
rnacentral:rRNA from 1 species